rnacentral:ncRNA from 1 species
CUCUACUUGUCGGAGUGCCACAAGGCUGAGACCGUUAAACCGGGAUCCGUUGAACCUGAUCAGGCUAAUACCUGCGAAGGGAACAAGAGAAAAUUAACA